rnacentral:rRNA from 1 species
CAAUAGCGUAUAUUAAAGUUGUUGCAGUUAAAAAGCUCGUAGUUGGAUUUCUGGUCGGAAGCUCCUGUCCUCUGAUGAGCGUACAAGUGCGUCCUACCAUCCUUCUGUUAACCUUUAAGGCUUUCGCGGCUUUCUAGGGGCUCAGAUAUUUUACCUUGAGAAAAUUAGAGUGUUUCAGGCAGGCUAGCGCCGGAAUACAUUAGCAUGGAAUAAUGGAAUAGGACUUUUGCCUCUUCUGUUGGUCAUGAGGCUCGAGUAAUGAUUAAUAGGGAUAGUUGGGGGCAUUAGUACUUAACUGUCAGAGGUGAAAUUCUCGGAUUUGUUAAAGACUAACUUAUGCGAAANCANNNGCCAAGGAUGUUUACAUNAA